CUUUAAGCAUUAGGUCAACUAAAUGCAGUGUACAUGUAUGGAAAAAAGCAAAAUCACUAAAAUACUGAACACUGAGGAACAUUCAAAAAGGAAAGUCCCUAAUCUGACUUAUGGAAUGAUUGUAAGGUGUGCAUAAAUAAAUAAGAAGAUUUGUAAUGAUUGCCAUGAGACAACUCUCCACCAGAGACCGAAUGAUGAAAAGUUAACAACUAUAGGUCAGUGUGCAAUUUUCAGCAAUGAGCAAACCCCAUAGUGCAAUGUAAAAAAAGCUAUAAAAGACCUUGAAAGGACAAAUGUAAAACAAAUUGAACAAGAAAACAAACCGCCUGAUAUAUGUACAAGACAAUAUACGGAAACCUAUAAAUAUGAUAACUUGCAACAAAAACUACUACUGAAUACUGUUGUCUGACUUUUGACUGGCACAUAUAUAGAAUGUAGGGGAGGGGAUAAAACGUCUCCUGGCACAAAACCAUCCCAAUAACCGUGGACAGUGGUGUAACAGUACAACAUAAGAACAAACUAAAAAUCAGUUGAAAAAAGGCUUAACUAAUCAGAUGGAUACAAAGCAAAAAAAAAACACAAACGAAAACAAAAACAACAGCACAUAGAUUUGAGAGUUCUGGCAGUUAGUGAAAGCUAGUUCACAAUGAAUAAUAAAAGAUAAAACAAUCAUGUAUCUUAGGCUAAUAUAUCAAUCAAUACACACCCAACAUGAAAAUGGAAUUAGUGUAAAGACGUCAUUCCCAGUCAAAGCAAAAACAUGAACAAUGCCA
rnacentral:lncRNA from 1 species